UGGUUGAUCCUGUUUGUAGUCAUAUGCUUGUCUCAAAGAUUAAGCCAUGCAUGUCUCAGUACAAGCCGAAUUAAGGUGAAACCGCGAAAGGCUCAUUAAAUCAGUUAUGGUUCCUUAGAUCGUACCCACAUUUACUUGGAUAACUGUGGUAAUUCUAGAGCUAAUACAUGCAAACAGAGCUCCGACCGGAGACGGAAGGAGCGCUUUUAUUAAAUCAAAACCAAUCGGCGGCGGUCGCCUCGCGCGUCCGUCGUCGUUCGCCCUGUCGAAUCUGAAUAACUUUACGCCGAUCGCACGGCCUCGCGCCGGCGACGCAUCUUUCAAAUGUCUGCCUUAUCAACUGUCGAUGGUAGGUUCCGUGCCUACCAUGGUAUUAACGGGUAACGGGGAAUCAGGGUUCGAUUCCGGAGAGGGAGCCUGAGAAACGGCUACCACAUCCAAGGAAGGCAGCAGGCGCGCAAAUAACCCACUCCCGGCACGGGGAGGUAGUGACGA
rnacentral:rRNA from 1 species